GCCAGUCUUCCUACGUCAAUCCCAACAACUCUCACCCCACCAUCCCAUCACCUUGCUUCUUAACCCUUCAGGAGUCACCACCACUCCAAAUUAUUUCCUCUAGCCACUUUCUCCCCUCCCAUUAACCAAUUCAAUUAGGACUUUACCCAACCAAAAUCUGAUCUGCUAAUUGAAUAAUUCUGCCAUCCAAGAUAAAGGAAAGCCCAUCAAUCUUUGCCCACAAUCAGACAACAAUUGUUUUGUAAAUUAGAAUCUGGGUUUUGUUUAAUAAUGGGCGGGGCAGGAGGAAACGUCGGGGCAGAGCAGCCGGGGGUGGCGGAGCCGCAGUAUGCCGCGGCGAAGAUAUCGGUUUGGUGGGAUAUAGAGAAUUGUCAUGUGCCUAAAGGAUGCGAACCCCACAUGAUCGCUCAGAAUAUAAGCUCUGCCUUAGUCAAGAUGAAUUAUUGUGGGCCGGUUUCGAUAUCUGCUUAUGGUGAUACUACUAGAAUUGGAUCUUCUAUCCAGCAGGCUCUAAAUAGUACUGGGAUUGCUCUCAAUCACGUCCCUGCAGGGGUUAAAGAUGCAAGUGAUAAGAAGAUACUGGUCGACAUGUUAUUCUGGGCAGUUGACAAUCCUGCACCUGCCAAUUAUUUGUUGAUUUCUGGUGAUCGAGAUUUUUCGAACGCACUUCACCAAUUGCGCAUGCGGAGAUAUAAUAUACUUUUGGCACAACCUCAAAAAGCAUCUGUUCCUCUUCUAGCUGCAGCAAAAAGUGUAUGGCUCUGGACAAGUCUUGUGGCUGGAGGACCUCCACUUACUAGUAGUGAAGCAUCCCAAUUUGUGAAUAACAGCUUUGGGUUUUCUUCCAAUGGUGACAAAUUACAUGUUCCAGUUUCUGAUUCGAUUCAGAUAAAUCAACCCCCAGAUUCAUUUUAUGAUAGUCCCCAUUUGGGAAAUCAGAGGUUCCCAAAUAUGGGAAGGGGAACAGAUAUAAAAAACAAAGGAAGACAAAUUCGGAGAAACUUGACUCAACCAAUUAUGCCAAGAACUUCAAGCACACAAGAUGACCUUGACAAUGGAAACCCGCAAAGAUCAGGAUAUGGGCUUCCUAAACACUUUAAUGAUUUGCAUGAGUUUUCUGCUACUCAGAAUCCCAAGGUUCCAUUUAGUGGACCCUCCCCUAGUUUGAUUAAUCCAGAUCCUUUUCCAAAUAAUAUCAGUAUUCCUCAUAGCUCUCAACAAAUUCACUAUCCUAUUCCAGUUAGGCCGAACAACCUUCCUUCUCAGCUUGCAUUGCCUCCUGGUAACUUUUUACCGCCUAACUCUCAUAUCCAGUAUCCUUCACAUACAAUGCCUCCUGGUCCUCCCCGACCUGAUGCAUUGAGCUUUACCUCGGGACCCUUUACAUCUGUGCCUGAUAUUGGUAAGAUAAACAUUUCUGAAUACCCUAACAACCACAAGCCUUCUACUUGGAAUGGAGGAGAGCUUAGACAAACAUCUAUGACAGAACCUACCAACUAUGCCAAUUCAUACAGGCCUCAGAAAGGGCAAAAUUUGCAGAAGAAACCACCGGCGCCCCAUGAAUUAGUUGGAAAUAGGUAUCCAAGCCCUAGUCAACAGAUUCCACCACCACCUGCCCCAGAAGUUGGUAACACUAGUGUCUCUAUAUCUGAGAGUGGUGUUUGGGGAACUCCAGGAUGUCCUAAACCUUCUGAAUAUAUUCAAGGCCUUAUGGGGGUAGUUUUACUUGCAUUGAACACACUAAAAAAUGAGAAGCUUUUGCCUACUGAAGAGCACAUUUCCAAUUGCAUUCGUUAUGGAGAUCCCAAACAUCGCAACACUGAUGUUAAGAAGGCUCUUGAGUGUGCUGUUGAGCAGCAGCUGGUAGUUAAGCAGACCUUAGGUGCUGUGCAGCUGUAUGUUGGUAAGAAUGAGAGACUAUGGAACUGUAUAAACCUCGGGGAUACUAAUAUAAAGCAAUAUCCAAAAACAACUUGGGAUGAAAUCCAGAAAUUUCUGUCAUCAUCUUCUGGACGAACUGCAAUACUAGCUACUCAGUGCAGGUAUGAAGCAGCUACUGUCAUAAAGAGAACAUGCUUAAAAGAUCUUACAUUGGGAGAAAUUCUGCAGAUCUUAAACAUGGUAAUAUACAUGAAAAGAUGGAUUAUGCAUCAUCAAUCAGGAUGGCAACCGAUUAAGAUUGUUCUUGCAGAGACCUACCCUGAAACAGGGGUGGCCGCUGCUUCAUAAUUUCAUGUUAAACUAGUUAUGGGAGGGGAUAGAGCCUGAGGAUGGUGAUGGAUUUAUGUCUUCAAAAUGGUGGUUUGGAGUUAUAAAUAGGCUCUAUGUGGUCCACCUCCCACCUUCCUAAAGAAUACUUGGAUGUUUUGAGUAGCUGCGUUUAAGUUUAAUUAAAGGAUAGACGACUGGGUCGAUGUUUAGUUCAUAUCUGGACAUGGUUUGCGUGUUUCUGUAGAUUUUGGGACAAUGGUAGCUCUGGUUGGCCAGAGUUUAACGAAUUCACGCAGGAUGUAAAUUUGGGAAAAUUGGAAACCAGUUGUGAGCUGGGCUGGUGUCGGUGCCAGGUCCUGAUUAUGACACUUCAGUGGAUACUGUCAAGUUGUUUUUCGGAUGCUUCUUUGUUGUAUACGUUCUUUGCGGGGAUGUUUCUCAUCAACUCAUGCUCUAUUACAAAUGUACUGAAUUUUGAAGGAAGUUGCUAGAUGGGAAAGUUGUAGGAGCUCUUUGGAAAGAGAUUCUUUUGGAAAGUCAUCUGUACUUGGAACGUCUGGAAAUUACUGUUGUACAAGGCAUAAAGGCUUUUGGUUCAUUCGUCCCGGAUAAGAUAAUUAUGUCGUGGAAACUGAUAAUGAUAGGUAUGCUUGCUGAUAGUUUACGUGAAAUUAAUUAAGAGCUACAAGCUUGCGAUGUGGCCUUUUACAUCAUGCACUGGAGCUUAAGGUAAAAGGGACUUGAAUGAAGACGGUUUAGAUAAUACUUACUUUUUUGGGAAGAAUUAGAAGGUACAAUGAAGUAAGGGGACACUUUUGAGCAGCCAAAAGGAUGAGCCAGUUAUCACCUGAACUCCUAAACCUGGGAGUUAAAUUAAAGGUAAAAAAUCUACAUACAACAGAAUUUACAGAACGAAUGACAGGCAGCUGACAGCAGAUUGUUCAAGGCAUAUGCAAUUUGCAGAGUAUGAAAGAUACGGCAACUGGAUUGGAUCAAUGAAAAUUGUGGCGGGCACUUGUUUGCUGUAAUUGCUAUUGGAUUCUUCAGUCAUGCACAUGCACUUAGGUAUCCAAAACAUGAUCUUGUGUAGUAACAUGGGCCAUGCGGUAGAUUAAGUCUUUCUGCGUGAUUGCGUACAUUUACUAAGGUAAAAGCUUAAAGGCCAGUUUAAGAAAUCGCAGCAGUUUUCUCUGGCAAAUUGCCAUAUGCUAGGUCUUAGGUUCACAACAUUCAAAAUUAUUUUUUUCUCCAGUUUCUGCUAAUUUCUUGCAGCUAACGAGAACCGUCCUAGUUAUUCUUUUCUUGGUUUCGUCUCCAAAACCACACGGGGCCAUGCUUUUUCUUUCCCCAACCUGAUGAUGCUCUUUUCUGUGCGUCCAAUUCGAAGGAAGGAAGGAAGGAAGAUUCAUGCGACAGCCAACGGUCAUUGUCUGUGGUUGUUGGACGUGUUGCACGUUUGACGCAAGGAGGAGGGAAAAAAGCAGUGAAGGAGGCAGGCAUACAUGGUACAGGACUAAUGACUUGUCCACUGACUUUGGGCAUUGACGCUCAAGUCUCACCCAUUGGAGUCAAGAAAGCAGCAUGAGUUGCUUGGUCCAUCAAAUUGCCCGGUGGGGUGGAAAGUGGAAAGUGGGAGUUGUGUGAGUCCUACUACUUAAUAGUGCAUAAUCAUUUUGUGCUUUGUAUGGCUAUAUCCCAUUACCUAGUUGCACAAAUUGAGAUGGUAUGCAAGCCAAGCCAACU